rnacentral:ncRNA from 1 species
UAACGUAAUACUACGUUUUAUGCGGAACACCAUCCGCGUAGUAGGCUAGAACCUACAUCGGACUUCUACAAGGAGAAAACAACAUG